GACGAACCGUGCGAACGUUAUUCGGAAUUACUGGGCUUAAAGCGCGUGUAGGCGGGCCGGCACGUCGAGCGUUGAAAUCCCCCGGCUCAACCGGGGAAGUGGCCUCGAUACGACCGGCCUGGAGGGGGGUAGGGGAAUCGGGAACUUCCGGUGGAGCGGUGAAAUGCGUUGAGAUCGGAAGGAACGCCCGCGGCGAAAGCGCGGUUCUGGACCCCACCUGACGCUGAGACGCGAAAGCCAGGGGAGCGAACGGG
rnacentral:rRNA from 1 species